GGGGAUGUAGCUCAGUUGGUAGAGUGCUUGCCUCACAUGCACAAGGUCCUGGGUUCAAUCCCCAGCACCACA
rnacentral:tRNA from 1 species